AGCAGCCGCGGUAAUUCCAGCUCCAAUCGCGUAUAUUAAAGUUGUUGCAGUUAAAAAGCUCGUAGUUGAAUUUCGGGACCAAUUUGUUGGUCGUGCCUCGGUACGUACUGGUAUUAUUGGCUUCUCCCUUCUGAAGAACCUCGAUGCCAUUAAUUUGGUGUCGUGGGGAAUCAGGACUGUUACUUUGAAAAAAUUAGAGUGUUUAAAGCAAGCAUACGCUUGAAUACAUUAGCAUGGAAUAAUGAAAUAGGACGUUUGAUUCUAUUUUGUUGGUUUCUAGGAUCGACGUAAUGAUUAAUAGGGAUAGUUGGGGGCAUUAGUAUUCAAUUGUCAGAGGUGAAAUUCUUGGAUUUAUUGAAGACUAACUACUGCGAAAGCAUUUGCCAAGGAUGUUUUCAUUAAUCAAGAACGAAAGUUAGGGGAUCGAAGACGAUCAGAUACCGUCGUAGUCUUAACCAUAAACUAUGCCGACUAGGGAUCGGAUGAUGUUAAUUUUUUAAUGACUCAUUCGGCGCCUUAC
rnacentral:misc_RNA from 1 species